AUCGUGACGCGGUUGGUGUCUACGGCUUCGUCUCGACGAGAGGAACACGAUGAUGGGCUUGGAUGCACGAGAUUCGCAACGGUUAAGAAGUUAUGGUCGAUUUACUAAAACGGCCGAAACUAAACUCAAAAAUAUGGCGGUUUCCGGUUACCUUUGGUUGCGGAUGAUGGUGGUGGCGAGCUCAACGGUCUGGCAUGUGGUGGCUCCGGCUAGGACUUCUGGUGAGCUUUCUCCCCCUCUCUCUCUCUCUCC
rnacentral:lncRNA from 1 species